AACGCGUAUGCAAUCUACCUUUUACAGAGGGAUAGCCCAGAGAAAUUUGGAUUAAUACCUCAUAGUAUUAUGAAAUGGCAUCAUUUUAUAAUUAAAGUCACAACGGUAAAAGAUGAGCAUGCGUCCCAUUAGCUAGUUGGUAAGGUAACGGCUUACCAAGGCUACGAUGGGUAGGGGUCCUGAGAGGGAGAUCCCCCACACUGGUACUGAGACACGGACCAGACUCCUACGGGAGGCAGCAGUGAGGAAUAUUGGACAAUGGGCGCAAGCCUGAUCCAGCCAUGCCGCGUGCAGGAUGACGGUCCUAUGGAUUGUAAACUGCUUUUGUACGAGAAGAAACACUCCCACGUGUUGGAGCUUGACGGUAUCGUAAGAAUAAGGAUCGGCUAACUCCGUGCCAGCAGCCGCGGUAAUACGGAGGAUCCAAGCGUUAUCCGGAAUCAUUGGGUUUAAAGGGUCCGUAGGCGGUUUAAUAAGUCAGUGGUGAAAGCCCAUCGCUCAACGGUGGAACGGCCAUUGAUACUGUUAAACUUGAAUUAUUAGGAAGUAACUAGAAUAUGUAGUGUAGCGGUGAAAUGCUUAGAGAUUACAUGGAAUACCAAUUGCGAAGGCAGGUUACUACUAAUGGAUUGACGCUGAUGGACGAAAGCGUGGGUAGCGAACAGGAUUAGAUACCCUGGUAGUCCACGCCGUAAACGAUGGAUACUAGCUGUUGGAAGCAAUUUCAGUGGCUAAGCGAAAGUGAUAAGUAUCCCACCUGGGGAGUACGUUCGCAAGAAUGAAACUCAAAGGAAUUGACGGGGGCCCGCACAAGCGGUGGAGCAUGUGGUUUAA
rnacentral:rRNA from 1 species